GUCGAGCGGACAGAUGGGAGCUUGCUCCCUGAUGUUAGCGGCGGACGGGUGAGUAACACGUGGGUAACCUGCCUGUAAGACUGGGAUAACUCCGGGAAACCGGGGCUAAUACCGGAUGGUUGUUUGAACCGCAUGGUUCAAACAUAAAAGGUGGCUUCGGCUACCACUUACAGAUGGACCCGCGGCGCAUUAGCUAGUUGGUGAGGUAAGGCUCACCAAGGCACGAUGCGUAGCCGACCUGAGAGGGUGAUCGGCCACACUGGGACUGAGACACGGCCCAGACUCCUACGGGAGGCAGCAGUAGGGAAUCUUCCGCAAUGGACGAAAGUCUGACGGAGCAACGCCGCGUGAGUGAUGAAGGUUUUCGGAUCGUAAAGCUCUGUGUUAGGGAAGAACAAGUACCCGUUCGAAUAGGGCGUACCUUGACGGUACCUAACCCAGAAAGCCACGGCUAACUACGUGCCAGCAGCCGCGGUAAUACGUAGGUGGCAAGCGUUGUCCGGAAUUAUUGGGCGUAAAGGGCUCGCAGGCGGUUUCUUAAGUCUGAUGUGAAAGCCCCCCGGCUCAACCGGGGAGGGUCAUUGGAAACUGGGGAACUUGAGUGCAGAAGAGGAGAGUGGAAUUCCACGUGUAGCGGUGAAAUGCGUAGAGAUGUGGAGGAACACCAGUGGCGAAGGCGACUCUCUGGUCUGUAACUGACGCUGAGGAGCGAAAGCGUGGGGAGCGAACAGGAUUAGAUACCCUGGUAGUCCACGCCGUAAACGAUGAGUGCUAAGUGUUAGGGGGGUUUCCGCCCCUUAGUGCUGCAGCUAACGCAUUAAGCACUCCGCCUGGGGAGUACGGUCGCAAGACUGAAACUCAAAGGAAUUGACGGGGGGCCCGCACAAGCGGUUGGAGCAUGUGGUUUAAUUCGAAGCAACGCGAAGAACCUUACCAGGUCUUGACAUCCUCUGACAAUCCUAGAGAUAGGACGUCCCCUUCGGGGGCAGAGUGACAGGUGGUGCAUGGUUGUCGUCAGCUCGUGUCGUGAGAUGUUGGGUUAAGUCCCGCAACGAGCGCAACCCUUGAUCUUAGUUGCCAGCAUUCAGUUGGGCACUCUAAGGUGACUGCCGGUGACAAACCGGAGGAAGGUGGGGAUGACGUCAAAUCAUCAUGCCCCUUAUGACCUGGGCUACACACGUGCUACAAUGGACAGAACAAAGGGCAGCGAAACCGCGAGGUUAAGCCAAUCCCACAAAUCUGUUCUCAGUUCGGAUCGCAGUCUGCAACUCGACUGCGUGAAGCUGGAAUCGCUAGUAAUCGCGGAUCAGCAUGCCGCGGUGAAUACGUUCCCGGGCCUUGUACACACCGCCCGUCACACCACGAGAGUUUGUAACACCCGAAGUCGGUGAGGUAACCUUUUAGGAGCCAGCCGCCGAAUGGUGAAC
rnacentral:rRNA from 1 species